AGAGUUUGAUCCUGGCUCAGGAUGAACGCUAGCUACAGGCUUAACACAUGCAAGUCGAGGGGCAGCAUUGGAGUAGCAAUACUUCAGAUGGCGACCGGCGCACGGGUGAGUAACACGUAUCCAACCUGCCGCUUACUCGGGGAUAGCCUUUCGAAAGAAAGAUUAAUACCCGAUGGUAUAAAGAGUUCGCAUGUUCUCUUUAUUAAAGAAUUUCGGUAAGCGAUGGGGAUGCGUUCCAUUAGAUAGUUGGCGGGGUAACGGCCCACCAAGUCUACGAUGGAUAGGGGUUCUGAGAGGAAGGUCCCCCACAUUGGAACUGAGACACGGUCCAAACUCCUACGGGAGGCAGCAGUGAGGAAUAUUGGUCAAUGGACGCGAGUCUGAACCAGCCAAGUAGCGUGAAGGAUGACUGCCCUAUGGGUUGUAAACUUCUUUUAUAAGGGAAUAAAGUGAGGGACGUGUCCCUUUUUGUAUGUACCUUAUGAAUAAGGAUCGGCUAACUCCGUGCCAGCAGCCGCGGUAAUACGGAGGAUCCAAGCGUUAUCCGGAUUUAUUGGGUUUAAAGGGAGCGUAGGUUGACAUAUAAGUCAGCUGUGAAAGUUUACGGCUCAACCGUGAAAUUGCAGUUGAUACUGUAUGUCUUGAGUGUACAAGAGGUGGGCGGAAUUCGUGGUGUAGCGGUGAAAUGCUUAGAUAUCACGAAGAACUCCAAUUGCGAAGGCAGCUCACUGGGGUACAACUGACACUGAGGCUCGAAAGUGUGGGUAUCAAACAGGAUUAGAUACCCUGGUAGUCCACACAGUAAACGAUGAAUACUCGCUGUUUGCGAUAU
rnacentral:rRNA from 1 species